rnacentral:rRNA from 1 species
AUGGAAAUCAUUUGUGUUUUCAACAAAGUGCACUUUGGCAUAACCAGCUCUUCUCCACCAGCCGAAGGUUUGUCUCAUCAGGUGAAGCACCGAUAUAAACACAGAUCAACAAUCAAUCAGUCAAGAAAACAGGUACUGAACUGGUAUACCAACUAUACCAAAAUUCAGAGACCUUACAAGCAUGUAAGACGAGAGCCUCAUCGAAAUACGUGUCCUAGCGACCAUUUCGAGUAUGAAGUAAAACAAGUGGUAAAACGGCCACAUGUUCAGAACUUCGGACAGGCAAAAAAUAAAUUCAGAGUCAAAAUAUGUAUGGGGAAUCUGGAGCAGCUGGCGGUAUGGGUCACUCACUGUGAGGAAGAUGUUGAAGGACUGCUCGAGCCUCACGAUCCAGCUGUCAGCCUAAGUGGGAGCCAGGGGGUCGUCCGUGUCGACGGCUUGUUCGGCAGGGCCAGCCGCUGUAACAAGAUUUGCACUGAAGAAGUUGCAGCAGCUCAAAGACCAUGUAACAGCGAAGAAGGCCCAAGUUGA